GAAAUAUAUAACACAAGGAUCCUCAACCGGUCAGCCCUAUAUCUGAGACCAAAGGUGAGUAAGCAUGUCAUAUGAAGUUGUUAGUAGAUUUGAGUAGAUUUUUACAGCAUACUUUUUAUGGCAGAACAACAAUAUUGGGUUUUCUUUUCUCAGGUGUCCUUUGGUCCUUUCUCAGCCCUUUGGUCUGCUUUUGCUGAGUUAUAAAAGUGCUAUAAAAACACUACUUACUAUUUAAACAAUUGUUUUUUGAUAGGAGCCUCUUGGGCGGGUGGAAGAACAGCCCCGUGGAGAACACUGUGAUGAAAAUCUGGAGGAGGCCGAACGAGAUACCCAGGAGAGAGAUGACAAUCUGGAGGAAUCUCAAGAAGAUUCCCUGGAGGCAGAAUGCAAUGACGAGCUGGAGGAGGCCGGAACAGAUCCUCCGGAGCCAGAUAAUGAUGUUGAGGAAAUACCAGAUGAUGUA